AUCUCUUAUACCGGGUGGGGGAGUUGGGGGGACGGACACGACAGGGACAGGACACUUGUACAGAUGGAUUUGGUGCCACCAGCACUACUCCCUCAAUCAACUCAGGCUUUCAACCAACAAAAGCCUGAAAGACGAGUUGUCUACGACUUCUGGUUUCAGCCUGCCUUCACCAACACCCCCUGAGGCGACAGAGCACAAAGGCAGGGCUCUCUGCUCUCCACCAGGGAUAGAGGACGGCGGGAUGGGGAGGGGAGAUAAGGGGAAAAGGAAACCUAGCAACAGAAAAUAACAUCUCAAUCCAUUAUCCUGCCGCACUUGUAAUUCUUUAACUCUUGCUCCCAAUUAUAUCUGGAUUUAAGAGUGCAAAACAAAGGCUCAUGCUGUAAUUUUAAUGGACUUGUUUUUAUAGGAAAAAAGUGAGUCUCAGAAUCCUAGAAAUGAUUUCUUCUAAGACUCACAGGAUUUAAUAAGCUCCUAGCUUAAGGAUUAAACAUUUUUUUUUAGCAUCAGCGUAACGUGACUCGCGCUCCCCUUCCAAGUGGAGAAUCCCAUUGUACAAAACAGAAAGGGAGCUGCUUUGGUUGUCAGGUUGGGGCACAGAACUCCUGCUGGAUGGUUUCCUCACUCCAUCCCUGUCGCAGUCCCUGCAGUGGCUCAAGCAGACCGGAAGGCUCAGUGGAGCAUGGGGUGAAGAACCAGCCUCAGCCCACCCUCCACCCCACACUGAAAGCCUCUUCGUGGCUUCCCUUCACCCACCUCUGAUCACUCCCUUCCUGAGAGAAGUCUCACAGGCAGCCGACCCAUCGCCCAGCACCACCCAGGACGGGAAAACACUUCCUAUAUGAUUGACGACCCCAAUGUGAUUCCCCGUCACUCACCCACAAGUCUCAGUUCUGCCUAAGAGACCACAAGGAACAGGUCUACGUCCUCUUUCACAUGAGUUACAGAGCAUAUCUCUCCCUGGAGCGUCUUUUCCAGAUGAAACAGGCACUUAAACCUAUGAUAAGUGGGUAAAUGAAUGAAUAAAUGAAGAAGCAAACAUAGGAAGGAGCAGAUUGGAGGUGGAAAAGGAAGGAAGAGAAAGAACAACUGAAUGAAACACUCUCGUCAUUCUCUUCUGCACACUCUCUAGCUUGAAAAUGGUUCUCUUAAAAAGUGACAUGUGUGAGAAAAUUGUAGCUUUUGGAACUGAACACAAUUCUCCAGAAAGACCUUAACCAAGUGUUUUUCCUACUGUUGGCGGUAACCCAUCAGACAAAGCCUUUUGGGCCAGAACGAAAGUUCAGGUCUAAACAAGGAAUACCCCCCAGAGGGUAACACCUGGACUGUAUCGGCCCACCAGAGCAAAGCCACACCAAGUUCCUGCAAUCAGAUCCUCUUCCAAGGCUACCUCACGUUGAUGUGAGAGGAUCCUGGAGGGGAAAGAGGGAUGGAAUCAGGGCCCCAAAAUAAAUGUAGUUGACUUCUCUUCGUUGCCUCCAGCAAUACCUAAAAUUUUGUAGUGAUGUUAUUUGCUAAAAGUAAUAAUGCUAACCACUACUACUUAUCGAGCACUCGGAAUUCUAAGUUCUGCACAUGUGUUAUUUCACUUAGUUUUUGAAAUAAUACCAGGGGUAAAGCGUUAUUAUCCCACUUUACAUAUGGGGCACCUGAGACUCAGAGACAUUAAAU
ensembl:lncRNA